UAGGAAUGGUGGAAAAAGAGAAAGAGAAAGAGAAAGCGAAGGAGAAUGGUGAAGUGACGACGGUGACGGAAUCGACGGCUAGGAAUUAGAGGAGCUGCCGAAGACAAUUGUCCUGCGGCUGGUGAAAGAUAAGCUCUCUCAGCUCUCUGCCGAGUCUGAAUCUCCGUUUUCCGCGAAGCCCUGCAGGCCUUCUCUGAAAGUGGUCGCAUCUUCAUCCACUACCUCACCGCAGCUGCAAAUGAUAUAUGCAAGGAGUCGAAUAGGCAGAUAAUAAAUGCCGAGGAUGUUUUCAAGGCGCUUGAGGAGAUAGAUUUUCCAGAGUUUGUUCAGUCUCUCAGGGCCUUUCUUGAAGAAUUUCGCCAAAGGAAUGCCUCUCAGACAUUUUUUUUUGGCUUAGUUUUGGUUUUCCUGAAAUCUUUCAUUGGGCCUAUAGCCCUUUCCUUCUAUUGACAUUGAACAAAGCGUGCACUCAUUGUUACAAACCACAAAUUUAUUUUAAUGUUGGGGUUGAGCAGCUUUUUUUUUUUUUUUUAUCUUUGAUCAGCUCUUGUACUAGUUCUGAACUGGAAACAAGAUUUACACACUAGUGUCUUGUGCGCAGCUUUUGACAGAUUUGGUGAACCUGUCGACAGAUGUGAUCCUAUUGAAGUAGUAGUAGUAAAUUAGUUUCAGUGAAUCACUUUUUUGCCAUAAGCUUUUUUCAUUCAGUUGUUAAUUUCUAUAUCUGCUGAUGAUAUCAGGAAUAUUAAUUCUUGUUGUGGGAGGCAUAUCCAGCCAGUAAGUCCUGACCUUCGGCAAUUUAUUCGGUCUAUGGGCAUGAAACUUGAAGCAAUUGAUUCGAGAAAUGCUGCAUCAACAUAUAAUAUUUUGAAUGAAGAAGGAAGGAUUGUGUCUGCUGCGCUUCUUCCUUAUGGGUGGAGGAGUAGGACAAUCAAAUGGUGAUAAGAAAUCGUGGAAAGCUGGGCCACAUAGAUCUACUAAUUGCUCUGUUAUGCUUGGCAAAGUGAAGGAUAUUAAGGCGUCUUCGCUGAAAUACUCUCUGAACUCCUUGUUACUGCUCUUGAUUGUUUGCAUCCCAAAGAAGACAACUUUCUGGUUCAAUCAACAGAAGGAACAAAUGGAAAGGAUUCAGUUGAACACAAUUCAUCCAGUGCCAAGCC